rnacentral:rRNA from 1 species
UACCAGCUCUCCGAGUGGUGUGGAUGUUUAUUGGGCCUAAAGCAUCCGUAGCUGGCUAGGUUAGUCCCCUGUUAAAUCCACCGAAUUAAUCGUUGGAUUGCGGGGGAUACUGCUUGGCUAGGGGACGAGAGAGGCAGACGGUAUUUUCGGGGUAGGGGUGAAAUCCUAUAAUCCCGGGAAGACCACCAGUGGCGAAGGCUGUCUGCUAGAACGCGCCCGACGGUGAGGGAUGAAAGCUGGGGGAGCGAACCGG